CGGGAAGAGCUCAAAUUUAUAAUCUGGCACCUUCGGUGUCCGAGUUGUAAUCUCUAGAAGUGUUUUCCGCGUUGGACCGCACACAAGUCUGUUGGAAUACAGCGGCAUAGUGGUGAGACCCCCGUAUAUGGUGCGGACGCCCAACGCUUUGUGAUACACUUUCGAAGAGUCGAGUUGUUUGGGAAUGCAGCUCAAAUUGGGUGGUAAAUUCCAUCUAAAGCUAAAUAUUGGCGAGAGACCGAUAGCGAACAAGUACCGUGAGGGAAAGAUGAAAAGCACUUUGGAAAGAGAGUUAACAGUACGUGAAAUUGUUGGAAGGGAAACGCUUGAAGUCAGACUUGCUUGCCGAGCAAUCGGUUUGCAGGCCAGCAUCAGUUUUCCGGGGUGGAUAAUGGUAGAGAGAAGGUAGCAGUUUCGGCUGUGUUAUAGCUCUCUGCUGGAUACACCUUGGGGGACUGAGGAACGCAGUGUGCCUUACGGCGGAUUUCUCGAGAUCUUCACACUUAGGAUGCUGGUGGAAUGGCUUUAAACGACCCGUCUGA
rnacentral:rRNA from 1 species